rnacentral:rRNA from 1 species
GACGAACGCUGGCGGCGUGCUUAACACAUGCAAGUCGAACGAUGAAGCCGGAGCUUGCUCCGGUGGAUUAGUGGCGAACGGGUGAGUAACACGUGAGCAAUCUGCCCUUGACUCUGGGAUAACUGCGGGAAACUGUAGCUAAUACCGGAUACGACACCUUGGGGCAUCCCAGGGUGUGGAAAGAAUUUCGGUCAAGGAUGAGCUCGCGGCCUAUCAGCUAGUUGGUGAGGUAAUGGCUCACCAAGGCGACGACGGGUAGCCGGCCUGAGAGGGUGACCGGCCACACUGGAACUGAGACACGGUCCAGACUCCUACGGGAGGCAGCAGGGGGGAAUAUUGCACAAUGGGCGAAAGCCUGAUGCAGCAACGCCGCGUGAGGGAUGAAGGCCUUCGGGUUGUAAACCUCUUUUAGCAGGGAAGAAGCGAAAGUGACGGUACCUGCAGAAAAAGCACCGGCUAACUACGUGCCAGCCGCCACAGUAA